ACGAACCCAUGCAGGAAUUGAGCUGGUGCAGUCUUCAUUGUGAAGAGCUACUUCUGUGCUGCCUCUUCACCUUCUCACCUGUUAAUCUGAUGUCUUUAAAUUGCUCAAGACUCUCUAUAGCUGAAAUAUCUCUUCUUUUACUUUCUUUCUUUCUACAGCGAUUAUGUGCUUUAUCAGAUUAUUGAUCUCUUUUAUCAAUACUAUGUGAUCUAUUCGUUCCUCACACUAUCUAAAUCUACUCUCACAGAGAUGAAUGCCAAUAUAUAGGGAUAAUGGGGUGACGGAUGUGUUCCAACCAUGGGGACAUAGGAAUGUGUUCUAUCUUCUAACCAAGAGAAAAUGGUGUACAGUGAUGGAUUUGUAGAUGCAGGGGAUAGAGGUCAAAUGGUCUAAAGGUCUUCUGGGCUAACCGUGCUGUGAACAUGGUAGGCGUGGCUUUGAAGGUCCAUCUUGCUCUUGAGGACCACAUCAUCACAGCGCGGGCAUCUGAUCAUGUCUCCAGGCUUGAUGUGCUGUAGGUGUUUUCGUCCGAGGUGCUUGGUCACCCCACCAUGGGUCGAGAAUUUAUCCAGACAGAUGAAGCAGUAGAGUGGCCGACGGACAUUCAUCACGGCUGCCGAUGCAAUCUCCCUUUGAUUGGGAGGCGGAGGAACGUGCACCUCCACCCUGACCUUCUGAAGCGCCUGGGCGGUAGGUCUCUUGUCGUGCGGCUGUCGGCACGUGUCCCCUUCCUCGAAGAGGCAGUAUGCCGCAACCGCAUCGAUCCCCUCGGUGCGUCGAAGCAUCUCGUCCCACAGCGUCUCGCAGGGC
rnacentral:sRNA from 1 species